rnacentral:rRNA from 1 species
UACGGAGGAUGCGAGCGUUAUCCGGAUUUAUUGGGUCUAAAGGGUGCGUAGGCGGGUUAUCAAGUCAGCGGUAAAAUCGUGGAGCUCAACUCCAUCCAGCCGUUGAAACUGAUGAUCUUGAGUGGGCGAGAAGUAUGCGGAAUGCGUGGUGUAGCGGUGAAAUGCAUAGAUAUCACGCAGAACUCCGAUUGCGAAGGCAGCAUACCGGCGCCCGACUGACGCUGAAGCACGAAAGCGUGGGUAUCGAACAGG